UAGGUUCAGGAGUUUCCAGGAUAAUCCAGG
rnacentral:piRNA from 1 species